rnacentral:lncRNA from 1 species
UCCCGUGCUCUUGAACUUUGAAAGUUUCAUCACCAGCAGAGGAAACUGCAGAGAGCCCCACCCUGGGCUUGCUGUUCAUCUUCUAAUGUUAUCUUCCUGUGUGACAAGUUAUAUUUUUCCUAGCCAUGAGCUCAUGAUUGGAUGUGGGUUUCCAGGGUCAUCAAGAUGGCUCAGAGUAUAAGGGCAUCUGCCCAUAGCUUAACAACCUGAGUUUGGAUCCUAGGACCUGUGUAUUAGUCAGGGUUCUCUAGAGUCACAGAACUUAUGGAAUGUCUCUCUAUACUGAGGGAACUUAUUGUGAUGACUUACAGUCUGUGGUCCAACUCCCCCAACAAUGGUCAUCUGUGAAUUGGAAGUCCAAGAAUCUAGUCGUUGCUCAGUCCCACAAGGCUAGUUGUUUCAGCUGGUCUUCUGUAGAAGUAGGUUCCAACAGAUGUGCUGGCAAGAAAAUGCAAGCAGGCGAAGAGUGAAUCUUCCUUCUUCCAAUGUCCUUAUGUAGGUUUCCAGCAGAAGGUGUGGCCCAGAUUAAAGAUACAAACCGCUACACCUGGAACUUGGACUUGCUUUGUCCCAGGCUGACCUUGAACUCAGAGAUCUCCUUGCCUCAGUCUCCUGGAAUUAAAGGUGUGUACUACCUUGCUUGGGCCUGCGAUUUUCAUGGCCACUGUCCCUCAAGAUCUCCAUGCCAAGAUCCAGGUCAGAAACUUGUGUCUUCCAGCCUCAAGAUCUGGAUCACAGGUGUGCUCUCUGAUUCUGGGUUGUAGUUCAUUCCAGAUAUAGUCAAGUUGACAACCAGGAAUAGCCACUACAACCCACAUGGUGGGAAGAGAGAACUGACUCCUACAAUUUGCCCUUUGAUCUUUAUACCGUCGAAGGCCCUUGAGAAUCCACUCACACAUCACACACACAACGAAGUGUAAUAAUAACUUAAGGACAAGAAAGAUGGAGUUCCAGUCUGUUUUCUAUGAGUUUCUGUAUCCUGAGCAGGUCUAUGGUGGCUAAUGUUGAUUGUCACCUGAGAGGAUCUAGACUCAGGUAAGAGACAGAGUUCUGGGUGUGCUUUUCUAGGUUGUUUUAAUUAAGGUGGGAAGACCCACUUGAAUGCAGGCAGAGGUUCCCAACAGAAGAAAAAGGAGAGAGUAAGCAGAGCACCAGCAUCCAUCUCUCAGCUUCCUGACUGUGGAUACAAUGUGACCAGCUGCCUCAUGCUUCUGCUGCCCUGCCUUCACUGCCAUGAUGGAAUGGACCCUCAAACUGUGAGCCAGAACCAGCCUUCCCUCUCCUAAGUUACCUGUGUCAGCCAGCUGCCACCUGUCCCACCUCUCUGGGUCUCACCACACUCACAACAAAGGGGUGACAAAUUGCAGCUGGCUGCCUGGGCACUGGAAAGAGCCAAUGAGGCGGUGUUGGUGGUCUGGAGACACCAGUGUUGGGACCCUGGAACUGGGCAGGGCAAGUUUCUCAAGCAUUUUGUUGCAACAAUCAGGAAGUAGGUACCCCAGGGUCCUGCCUGAGAUUGUGUGUCCACCACAGCCACCACAGCUGCCACGCCUCCGCAGGCUCUCCAGUCUGCAGUGGCUUUCCCAUUGCCUCUGGCUUGUAGUGAUUUUGACCAUUUUGGGGAGCACAGCCAAGGGGUUUAUGACAUGCUCCUACCACAGUGAGGAUUCCAGGAUAUUUAGGUCAUCAGACCUGAUGGCAAGUGUCUUUACCAGCUAAGUCAUCCCCUCAGCUGUGCCUCCCCAGCCCAUUGUGUGUGUGUGUGUGUGUGUGUGUGUGUGUGUGAGGGGGGGGGGUUGGUGUCUGUUCUGUGUGUCCCUGGCUGACCUCAACCUUACUAUGUACCCAAGGAUGACUCUGCCUCCACCUCUAAGGGAUGUAAUUUCAGGUUGUCUUAGAGUUACUAUUGCUGUGUUGAAACACCAUAACCAAAAAGCAAGUUGGGGAGGAAACAGUUUAUUUGGCUUACACUUCCACAUCACGGCUCAUCAUCAAAGGAUGCCAGCACAGGAACUCAAGCAGUGUAGAAACCUGGAGGUAGGAGAUGUUGCAGAGGCUACAGAGGCUACAUGUGUCUUCCCCAUGUCUUGCUCAGCCUGCUUUCUUAUAGAACCCAGGACCGCCAGCUCAGGGAUGCUCCCCACACACAAUGGGCUGGGCCAUCCCCUAUCAAUCACUAGCUAAGAAAACCCCUAUAGGGUUGCAUACCACUGGAUCUUAUGGAGAUAUUUUCUUAAUUGAAGUUCCCUCCUCUCAGAUGACUUGACUUUGUCUCAGUUUAACAUAAAACUAGCCAACACACACACACACACACACACACACACACACACACACACACACAUAUAUGUCACCAUAUCAGCUUUUAUGUCCCUGAUGCCUUUCUUAGGAUCAUUGUGAGGAGCGGGUAUGGCAGCAGUCCCAAGAUGGCGCCCGGGACUGCAGCCAAGUCUUAUGACUUGCACCUGACUUCCUCAUACACCUGAAAAUAAGCCACAUCGUGAGAGUUGCGCAGGUGCACCAUGAUGCAAGAUCUGACC